rnacentral:rRNA from 1 species
GCUGUGGAACUCCUACGGGAGGCAGCAGUGGGGAAUAUUGGACAAUGGGCGAAAGCCUGAUCCAGCAAUGCCGCGUGAGUGAUGAAGGCCUUAGGGUUGUAAAGCUCUUUUACCCGGGAUGAUAAUGACAGUACCGGGAGAAUAAGCUCCGGCUAACUCCGUGCCAGCAGCCGCGGUAAUACGGAGGGAGCUAGCGUUAUUCGGAAUUACUGGGCGUAAAGCGCACGUAGGCGGCUUUGUAAGUUAGAGGUGAAAGCCUGGAGCUCAACUCCAGAAUUGCCUUUAAGACUGCAUCGCUUGAAUCCAGGAGAGGUGAGUGGAAUUCCGAGUGUAGAGGUGAAAUUCGUAGAUAUUCGGAAGAACACCAGUGGCGAAGGCGGCUCACUGGACUGGUAUUGACGCUGAGGUGCGAAAGCGUGGGGAGCAAACAGGAUUAGAAACCCUGGUAGUCCUACCACGU